GUGGUUUUGGAAUGUUUUGCUUACUGUUUGCCAUGACUAACCAUGACUCUCAUGGUUGUUUGUGGAUAUUCAGUGAAUGGUUUUACAAGCCAGUAAGGAGAGGAAACAAUGGUUGCAGUUGUGAUAGUUGCGCAAUGAGUUUUCACGUCGAGAAAAGUUAGGGAAGAACCCAUUAAGCAAAGGAAUAAUAUUUUGGUGCUGCGGGCUGUGAGUUGGUCCCUUAUGAGCUCGGAUGUGUCAUGUGAAUGUGUUGUUGUAGUUUAUAUCAAUAUGAGCUGAUAUUUGUUUGAAGAUGAAAAGGAGAAAGCUGGACGUUUAAGGAGAAGUUUGAGUUUCUUUGCAAGGUGUUUAAGGAAGCGUUCAGAGUUGAGAAAGUUGUUUUGUAUUGGUUACUAACAUGGAGAAAGCGUUCAGAGUAUGGCUAGAUUGCUAACAUGGAGAGAAUCAUGAAGGCACAAGCUUUGAGAGAUGGAGAUCAACUCUGAAAUCAUUAUAUGGCAGGCAAUGAGAAAAAUAUUAUAAGUUGCAUUGUACUAAUUUUCCAAUCUAUGUACUUUUUAGGAUCGCAAAUACAUUCUUAUUACGCGUUC